rnacentral:rRNA from 1 species
AAUAAGAAGCUUGCUUUUUGUUGGUUAGCGGCGGACGGGUGAGUAACACGUGGGUAACCUGCCUGUAAGACCGGGAUAACUCCGGGAAACCGGUGCUAAUACCGGAUAGAUUAUCUUUCCACCUGGAGAGAUAAGGAAAGAUGGCUUUUGCCAUCACUUACAGAUGGGCCCGCGGCGCAUUAGCUAGUUGGUGAGGUAACGGCUCACCAAGGCGACGAUGCGUAGCCGACCUGAGAGGGUGAUCGGCCACACUGGGACUGAGACACGGCCCAGACUCCUACGGGAGGCAGCAGUAGGGAAUCUUCCGCAAUGGACGGAAGUCUGACGGAGCAACGCCGCGUGAGCGAAGAAGGUCUUCGGAUCGUAAAGCUCUGUUGUUAGGGAAGAACAAGUAUCGGAGGAAAUGCCGGUACCUUGACGGUACCUGACGAGAAAGCCACGGCUAACUACGUGCCAGCAGCCGCGGUAAUACGUAGGUGGCAAGCGUUGUCCGGAUUUAUUGGGCGUAAAGCGCGCGCAGGCGGUCCUUUAAGUCUGAUGUGAAAUC